AGAUGAUGAGAGAAAGGUGAAGUUUUUGAAAAGCUUUCGAGGAGCUAAGACAAGAUGACAAAGCAAAAGGAUGCAAAUAAGCCAAAAGGACGAGGCAGGACAAAAAAGAAUGACAUCAACAAUCUGAAAGCUCAAGGACGCAAGACAAAACUAGAGUGGAAUGAGAAAUGAGAACCUAUAGGAACAAAGAUAUGCGUAUAUGCAAUCAUGGAUUGGGGUUAAAGCAAGAUCUACAGUCCCUCUAAAUUAUGAUGAUUGGAGACAUGUAGAUUCGAAACUCAAGGGGAAAAUAUGGAAAGACACAUACGUAAGACUUAAAUUUUGUAUGUAUAUAUUUCAACACAUUUAAUUCAACACUGUUAAUGGGUACUAAUCAAUUCUUGAUUCCACUAAAUCUUAUGAGAAAUUCAUUGCAGAGGUUUUUGACAAGACUCAUAUUUCUCUUCAGGCCAUGUUCUUGGAAUAUAUGAGAGUAAAAGGUAAAAAUGAGUUUGUGAGGGUUCCUGUCAACCCAUCCUUAUUCUACCGAGUUCACAUCUACAUAACUUCCGAAGAUGUCAUACAAGUGGCCACCCAAGAUGAACUUACGGGUUCAGCUAUGUUAUUUGGACUAAGAUGCAUUUGGGAAAAUUUAAAUCAAAGACAAAUAUUAGUUCAAAUGCUAUUGUAUUUGGCAAAAAUGGACCGGAGAUAUGGACCUUUGCUUGUCCAAAGCAACCAUACAAUUACGAAUGUGGUUACUAUGUACUAACUUACAUUCGUGAUAUGCUUCAACAUUCAAAUCCUAUUACAGCCAUAAAAGCAAAAUUUGGCGGUCUAUCCCAAUAUUUUGAGGACGAUCAUCUCUUACCGCUUCGACAACAGUGGUUAAGUCAAUUGCUUCCCUUGAUAUAUAAAAAUUAACUAGUAGUCUUUUAUUGUAUUUUUUUAGACAAUGUGUAGUAUUUAAUUUAGAGAUUUAUGCAUAAUAUGUAACGUGUUAUUUAGAAUUGAACUUACAAAUUAUUAUUGUUGUUAUUAAAAAUGAUAUUAAUCAUUUAUUUUUAAUUAAGUUUUUUUUA